AGCUCUGAGGUGUAAACACGUUAGAUUGCAAAUCUAAAGACGUAGAAUGAUAUCUGCCGGGGCUUCCCCC
rnacentral:tRNA from 1 species